rnacentral:rRNA from 1 species
UACAGAGGGUGCUAGCGUUGUUCGGAAUCAUUGGGCGUAAAGGGCGUGUAGGCGGUUUGUUAAGUCAUGUGUGAAAUCCCUCGGCUCAACCGGGGAACGACGCAUGAAACUGGCAAGCUAGAGUACCAAAGAGGGGGGUGGAAUUCCCGGUGUAGCGGUGAAAUGCGUAGAUAUCGGGAGGAACGCCGGUGGCGAAAGCGGCUCUCUGGGACGGUACUGACGCUGAGACGCGAAAGCGUGGGGAGCGAACAGG